rnacentral:lncRNA from 1 species
GGAAGACCAUGUCUGGGACAUCGGCAUCGUAUUUGAUUCGUGUAAGACCCAGUUUGGGACAGUGGCAUCGAUAUGAGAUGACAUGUAAGACCACAUCUGGGAUGUUGGCAUUGUUCGAUAUAUAUGAUUAUUCGAGUAUCCUAUUUAAUUCUGAAUGGUUCAACGAGCAAUGAUAAGUUGUGUUCGAAGGUGUAAAACGAACUAAACAAUCAGAUAUGAGUUAGUUG